UACGAAGGGGGCUAGCGUUGCUCGGAAUUACUGGGCGUAAAGCGCACGUAGGCGGCUUCUUAAGUCGGUGGUGAAAUCCUGGAGCUCAACUCCAGAACUGCCUUCGAUACUGGGAAGCUCGAGUCCGCGAGAGGUGAGUAGAACUGCGAGUGUAGAGGUGAAAUUCGUAGAUAUUGGGAAGAACACCAGUGGCGAAGGCGGCUAACUGGUCCGGAUCUGACGCUGAGGUGCGAAAGCGUGGGGAGCAAACAGG
rnacentral:rRNA from 1 species